CCUACGGGUGGCAGCAGUGAGGAAUAUUGGUCAAUGGGCGUAAGCCUGAACCAGCCAAGUCGCGUGAGGGAUGAAGGUUCUAUGGAUCGUAAACCUCUUUUAUAAGGGAAUAAAGUGUGGGACGUGUCCUAUUUUGUAUGUACCUUAUGAAUAAGGAUCGGCUAACUCCGUGCCAGCAGCCGCGGUAAUACGGAGGAUACGAGCGUUAUCCGGAUUUAUUGGGUGUAAAGGGUGCGUAGGCGGCCUUUUAAGUCAGCGGUGAAAGUCUGUGGCUCAACCAUAGAAUUGCCGUUGAAACUGGGGGGCUUGAGUAUGUUUGAGGCAGGCGGAAUGCGAGGUGUAGCGGUGAAAUGCUUAGAUAUCUCGCAGAACCCCGAUUGCGAAGGCAGCCUGCCAAGCCAUGACUGACGCUGAUGUACGAAAGCGUGGGGAUCAAACAGGAUUAGAUACCCCAGUAGUC
rnacentral:rRNA from 1 species